rfam:Bombyx mori DNA, contig: Bm_scaf73_contig31391, strain: p50T/Dazao, build 2, whole genome shotgun sequence.
UUAACUCAAAUUUGUAAGGAGUUGGAACGUUUGUCUACGUUUUCCGCUAGGGGCGCUGUUUCAACUCCAUACAAAUUUGAGUUA